rnacentral:rRNA from 1 species
AUUGAACGCUGGCGGCAGGCCUAACACAUGCAAGUCGAGCGGUAACAGGAAGAAGCUUGCUUCUUUGCUGACGAGUGGCGGACGGGUGAGUAAUGUCUGGGAAACUGCCUGAUGGAGGGGGAUAACUACUGGAAACGGUAGCUAAUACCGCAUAACGUCGCAAGACCAAUGAGGGGGACCUUCGGGCCUCUUGCCAUCGGAUGUGCCCAGAUGGGAUUAGCUAGUAGGUGGGGUAACGGCUCACCUAGGCGACGAUCCCUAGCUGGUCUGAGAGGAUGACGAGCCACACUGGAACUGGGACACGGUCCAGACUCCUACGGGAGGCAGCAGUGGGGAAUAUUGCACAAUGGGCGCAAGCCUGAUGCAGCCAUGCCGCGUGUAUGAAGAAGGCCUUCGGGUUGUAAAGUACUUUCAGCGGGGAGGAAGGGAGUAAAGUUAAUACCUUUGCUCAUUGACGUUACCCGCAGAAGAAGCACCGGCUAACUCCGUG